GUCCCGGUGGCGCAAUGGAUAGCGCGUCGGACUUCUAAUCCGGAGGUUGUGGGUUCGAGUCCCAUCCGGGACG
rfam:Echinostoma caproni strain Egypt genome assembly, scaffold: ECPE_scaffold0008446